GUGGGGAAUAUUGGACAAUGGGCGCAAGCCUGAUCCAGCCAUGCCGCGUGAGUGAUGAAGGCCUUAGGGUUGUAAAGCUCUUUCAGUGGGGACGAUAAUGACGGUACCCACAGAAGAAGCCCCGGCUAACUUCGUGCCAGCAGCCGCGGUAAUACGAAGGGGGCUAGCGUUGUUCGGAUUUACUGGGCGUAAAGCGCACGUAGGCGGAUCGUUAAGUCGGGGGUGAAAUCCUGGAGCUCAACUCCAGAACUGCCUUCGAUACUGGCGCUCUUGAGUCCGGAAGAGGUGAGUGGAACUCCGAGUGUAGAGGUGAGAUUCGUAGAUAUUCGGAAGAACACCAGUGGCGAAGGCGACUCACUGGCCCGUUACUGACGCUGAGGCGCGAAAGCGUGGGGAGCAAACAGGAUUAGAAACCCUAGUAGUCC
rnacentral:rRNA from 1 species